CCUCUCUUUCUACCUCCAAAUCCACCACUUCUAUUAAACAAUUCAACUAAGGAAGAAGACAGCAAAUCAAAGAUUCAACUGCAAUAUAAACACGAGAAGAAAAUAGCAAAUAUUUGCCAAAGGAUAGCAAAGUAUUCGAUUGUUCCCUUUACCAACCCCAACUGAAGCUUUCAACAACCCCUCCAAAUCAAACACCCUAUAUUGUGAUCAGGUAACUUUAUUUUCAAUUUCUUUCUAUAAUUUGCUUUGCUAUUUUUCAAUUUCAAGUUAUCAUGUUUGUGUUUCAGAUUUGAAAAUGGGAACUAAUUUUGAAAUCAUAUUUGUUUUCGAAGUUUUGCGAUUGUUGUGUUGUAAGUGAUAGUGAAUGAAGGUGGUGAUGGUGACAAAAGGCAAUAGCGAAGGUGGCAGCUAAUGGUGGCGGUGGCAUGAAAGUUCGAUUGGGAUGAUAAUCAACUUUAAAGUUGAACACAAAAGGCUCAAAGGCGAGCACUGUUGCUGGUUCCUCUCCAUUGUUUUUUGAGGUUUUGCCAUUUUUUCUCUUCGAAUGCUCGAGGGAGUUGUUGGUUUUGAGGCCAUGUUGGGGCAGGAGGCUGAGACGACUGUCAACAGUUGGGUAAGGGUGGUUUCAGUUUUGAGUGAGGGGGCUGGCUGAAGGAGAUGAGGGUGGGUUGGUGUGGUUUUGUUUUUUCUUUAUUAAGCCCCGUUUGUUUCUCAUUAUUUGUCCAUUAAAAUGAAAAAUAUGAUCGUUAUUUAUCACAUCAAAUCAUCAUAUUUGACUUUCCAUCUCUUGUAUGGGGCUCGUAACCACUAUAUUUUUCAUUCUCAUUUUUACAUUAAUGUGUACCAAACGGG
rnacentral:lncRNA from 1 species